rnacentral:miRNA from 1 species
AAAAAGUUAGUUUAGGUUUUU